rnacentral:rRNA from 1 species
AACGAACGCUGGCGGCGCGUCUUAAGCAUGCAAGUCGCACGGCAAGAUUGGUGCUUGCACCGAUCCUAGAGUGGCGGACUGGUGAGUAACGCGUGGGUGACGUACCCUCAGGAUGGGGAUAGCUGGUAGAAAUAUCAGAUAAUACCGAAUAUUCUUAUUGUUGUUAGAGGACAGUAAGGAAAGGAGCUUUGGCUUCGCCUAAGGUUCGGCCCGCGUACUAUUAGCUAGUUAGUGAGGUAAAGGCUCACCAAGGCGACGAUAGUUAUACGGCCUAAGAGGGUGAACGGACAGAUUGGGACUGAGAUACGGCCCAGACUCCUACGGGAGGCAGCAGCUAAGAAUAUUCCGCAAUGGAGUAAACUCUGACUGGGCGACGCCGCGUGUAUGAUGAAGGCCGGAAGGCUGUAAAAUCCUUUUAAGCAAGAAGAAUAAACUUUACAGGGAAUGGUAGAGUGGUGACGGUAUUGCUUGAAUAAGCAACGGCUAAUUACGUGCCAGCAGCCGCAGUAAAAC